GAUCCGAGCGUAUCCGGAUUAUUGGUUAAAGGGUGCGCAGGCGGAUGUAAGUCGGCGGUGAAAUUUGCAGCUCAACUGUAAAAGUGCCUUCGAUACUGGCUUUCUUGAGUGUGGAUGAAGUAGGCGGAAUUUGUGGUGUAGCGGUGAAAUGCUUAGAUAUCACGAGGAACUCCGAUGCGCAGGCAGCUUACUAAACCACUACUGACGCUCAUGCACGAAGGCGUGGGGAUCAAACAGGAUUAGAUACCCUGGUAGUCCACGCAGUAAACGAUGAUUACUAGUUGUUUGCGAUACAAUGUAAGCGACUGAGCGAAAGCGUUAAGUAAUCCACCUGGGGAGUACGUUCGCAAGAAUGAAACUCAAAGGAAUUGACGGGGGCCCGCACAAGCGGAGGAGCAUGUGGUUUAAUUCGAUGAUACGCGAGGAACCUUACCAGGGCUCGAACGCAGGGGGAAUAUUUCUGAAAGGGAAUAGCCAGCAAUGGUCGCCUGCGAGGUGCUGCAUGGUUGUCGUCAGCUCGUGCCGUGAGGUGUCAGGUUAAGUCCUAUAACGAGCGCAACCCCUAUCCUUAGUUGCCAACAGGUCAAGCUGGGAACUCUAGGGAAACUGCCUGCGCAAGCAGAGAGGAAGGUGGGGAUGACGUCAAAUCAGCACGGCCCUUAUGUCCUGGGCUACACACGUGCUACAAUGGCCGAUACAGAGGGCAGCCACCACGCGAGUGGGAGCCAAUCCCGAAAAUCGGUCUCAGUUCGGAUCGGAGUCUGCAACCCGACUCCGUGAAGUUGGAUUCGCUAGUAAUCGCGCAUCAGCCAUGGCGCGGUGAAUACGUUCCCGGGCCUUGUACACACCGCCCGU
rnacentral:rRNA from 1 species